ACCCGCUGAACUUAAGCAUAUCAAUAAGCUGAGGAAAAGAAACCAACAGGGAUUGCCUUAGUAACUGCGAGUGAAGCGGCAAAAGCUCAAAUUUGAAAUCUGGUGCCUUCGGCGCCCGAGUUGUAAUUUGGAGAGACAUCUUCGGAGUAGACGCCGUCCUAAGUUCCUUGGAACAGGACGUCACAGAGGGUGAGAAUCCCGUGCCUGGAUGGCUGUUCUACUUCAUGUGAAGUGUCUUCGACGAGUCGAGUUGUUUGGGAAUGCAGCUCAAAAUGGGAGGUAAAUUUCUUCUAAAGCUAAAUAUUGGCGAGAGACCGAUAGCGCACAAGUAGAGUGAUCGAAAGAUGAAAAGCACUUUGAAAAGAGAGUUAAAAAGUACGUGAAAUUGUUGAAAGGGAAGCGCUUGAGACCAGACUCGACCAGUGGUGAUCAGCGGUGCUUCUGUGCCGUGCACUUGCCAUUGGUUGGGCCAGCAUCGGUUUGGACGGCGGGAUAAAGACCUAAGGAAUGUGGCUCCCUCCGGGGAGUGUUAUAGCCUUGAGUGCAAUGCCGCCAGUCUGGACCGAGGACCGCGCUUCGGCUAGGAUGCUGGCGUAAUGGUCUU
rnacentral:rRNA from 1 species